CCCCCUCAUAUCUUCUCCAUGAUUCCAACUUGAAUGACAGUCCCUUACACAACAGCUUUAUUGCAUUUCAAAUUCAAGCAUGACUCCUUCAGAUAAGCUAGCACCCUUGGCUUAAAUUUUCAUCCUUCCUCUUGGUGAUGAACAUGCUAUGGAUUCGAAGAAAAACCAGUUGCAGUACUAAAGAGUGGAAAAUAAAAAAUAAAGAUAAUCUGAUUAAUAUGGCACUCUUUGGAGGAUGAACCUUUUGGGUCAGGAGGUCGAAAUUGUCUUCUCCUUUUGCAUUUACAGUGAUAAAUUGAGGAUGUUAUCAUUUUCUUCCAUGACUUUUACAGGGAGAUAGACUUCCGUCUUUUCUCAGCAACAAGAAUCACUGUCGAUGAGGGGAAAAGAAAACCUCUUGUGGGAUGGUUCCAGUGAAGUGUUUUUGGUGGUAGUGCACAAACCCAAAGAUUCCAAAUCUUCAAGCUCAUGAAAUUGCAAGCAUUGACUGAUCUCAAUCAUCCAGUCAACAGCUUUCUUCCCAAUAUUAAUAGGUCAUCAAGAAGGGAUAGUAACUGAAGGAAAUGACAAGGGAUUCAUAGAAAUGCAACCAAGUUUAUAUAAUGUUGUGCCUGGCUUUAAAUUCACAGCAAAUGUAGAAGUGCAAAAGGAUUGCGUGUCACUGCUUCCAUGGUCCAUCCAAACCCACCUUCCAACUCAAAAUGUUUAAAGUAAUGCAAUUGGGCUUGGGAACUUUUUGAACAUUAGAUAUUUUUCAUGAAUAGUAAUGUCAUGGAUGAAGUUGAUUAGUUUUGUAUCAGAUGAACUUAAUAUGAUUUUUCUAUUCACUUCUGUGAAAUGAGAAGUUACAAAGUGUUUUAGUUGAAAACAAACUACUAAUAUGAUCACUGAACAUUUUUCCAA